rnacentral:rRNA from 1 species
GACGAACGCUGGCGGCAGGCCUAACACAUGCAAGUCGAACGAGUGGCGGACGGGUGAGUAAUGUCUGGGAAACUGCCCGAUGGAGGGGGAUAACUACUGGAAACGGUAGCUAAUACCGCAUACCAUCGGAUGUGCCCAGAUGGGAUUAGCUAGUAGGUGGGGUAACGGCUCACCUAGGCGACGAUCCCUAGCUGGUCUGCGAGGAUGACCAGCCACACUGGAACUGAGACACGGUCCAGACUCGUACGGGAGGCAGCAGGGGGGAAUAUUGCACAAGGGGCGCAAGCCUGAUUCAGCCAUGCCGCGUGUAUGAAGAAGGCCUUCGGGUUGUAAAGUACUGUCAGCGAGGAGGCGUUACUCGCAGAGGAAGCACCGGCUAACUCCGUGCCAGCAGCCGCGGUAAUUC